UGGGGAAUAUUGGACAAUGGGCGCAAGCCUGAUCCAGCCAUGCCGCGUGUGUGAAGAAGGCCUUUUGGUUGUAAAGCACUUUAAGCGAGGAGGAGGCUACUGAGAUUAAUACUCUUGGAUAGUGGACGUUACUCGCAGAAUAAGCACCGGCUAACUCUGUGCCAGCAGCCGCGGUAAUACAGAGGGUGCGAGCGUUAAUCGGAUUUACUGGGCGUAAAGCGUGCGUAGGCGGCUUCUUAAGUCGGAUGUGAAAUCCCUGAGCUUAACUUAGGAAUUGCAUUCGAUACUGGGAAGCUAGAGUAUGGGAGAGGAUGGUAGAAUUCCAGGUGUAGCGGUGAAAUGCGUAGAGAUCUGGAGGAAUACCGAUGGCGAAGGCAGCCAUCUGGCCUAAUACUGACGCUGAGGUACGAAAGCAUGGGGAGCAAACAGG
rnacentral:rRNA from 4 species